AUUAAGGUACAGCUGACUUCCUGAACUGACACCUUGAAACUACACUACCUGUACAGCUGCUUGCUCUGGCUAGAGAGAAGAGAUGAGCAAACGGUGCCUUUUGCGUGGUCACUGGCUCAGCAGGUACACAGAGUGAUAGUACAUUCCAGUGAUCACCCCCUUUACACAGCAGUUCCAAAAAUGGUCAUUACAAGAGGGUUCAUGUUAGAGCUCCCUUGCAGUAGUUCUUGUUGUACUGAGCAAGGCAGCUCCUCUUGGGAUUGGUAAAGUAGCUGAAAAAUGUAUUCUGACAUUUUCUUCUCAGGUUCAUCUGAGGACUAAGCCUUGUUUGCUGUGAUAAAUCGUCUAGGAAUGUAGGAGAGAG
rnacentral:lncRNA from 1 species